UCUGAACAGUUACGGACGAGAGAAAAAAACGCAGCCGCCCGCACGGCCCAUCCUCCUGAUCCCAUCUCGACUCCUGCGCGCCGCCACCUCCUGCCCCGCCUCACCGCACGCCGCACACCGCCGCCCCCCAGCCCCUCGUCGCGGCUCUCCACCGGACUGCCCCCGUCGCCGCGCUCCGCCUGACCGCCCCCCGUCGCCGUGCGCCGCCACCGCCUACCGUCGCCGUGCUCCGCCACCGCCUACCCCGCCGGUGCGCCUACCCCCACUCAAGUGCCCCCACACCCGCGGCCUUCCACCGGCGACCCACGGCGGCCUUCCACCACUGGCAACUCUUGGCGUCAGGGGUUGGGGAGGUGGAUUCGGGGGCGCGCGACGCGGCGGGGGUCGCCGGUGACGACGAUGAAGGCAGGCAUAAUUUUUUCCCCGACCCUGCGAACCCUAGCAGCCGCACAAACGCCACCCCGCCGCCGGUCAUGGGGUCGUUUCCCCGCGCCUCCUCGCCUCCCUCUGCUCCAGGCCCCCUCUCUCGCGCUGCUAGGAGUAGUGGUCUCUAGCAGCUGCCCUCCCCUCAGUCAUCGCAUCAAUCUCCUGCUCCAUCUCUCUCCAACAUCCCCGCUCUCCUCUCGCAUCACACACAGGCGGUGGCUAUACAUAUCUGACCGGGUGUGGCGUGUGUGGCAUCUGUGACGUGCUUCGGCCCGCUGGUUGUCCCUAAUGUGUGCGGCUGUUGUGCGUCCCUGUUCAUGUGUGUGGCGCUUUACAUGCAAAGGAAGUGAAUGGUUGCAAGCAGAGGAAGCUGUUGGCCAUUGGCAAAGGAGGAUUAGGAUAGUUCUCUUGAUCUUGGUCAGAAAAAUUGAUAGUUCCCUUGAUUUGUUUUGUUCUGAAUUAGUACAAAAGUGCACUGAUAUUUGUUUUGUGCUGCGGGAGCUUCAAGACACCAGGUACCAAUUGCAACUUUCAUUUAUCUGUUGUGUGAACCAAUUUGUGAUGGCUUCUAAACGCACUUGGCUGGAACAGAGCAAUUUUCUGUAGUCUUCAGCGACGAUGUGGUGCUGCACUGCUGCUCUCUUGCUGCUAACUUGCUACUUCUAGCUGAAUUUUGCUAUUGCUGCUAGCUGAAUUUUGCAUAGGCAUGGCAGGCUGUUUGGUACAUAUACAAAUGAUGCUGUUAUUUUUGUUAUUGCUCACACCCGGCCGCCCGCGCUCACGGCCAGUGCUGCAGAUUUCGUGGCUGGCCAGCUUAUCCUCAAUGUGUUCUGACUCGGAGGUCGGAGUUGAAGCUGACAACGGACUCAAGAACUCCACCAUAUUCUUAGUAUUGCAUACCGUCACUGCUGAGGGGUUAGCCAAGCUGCUUUUAAAAGUCAUAUAACAAUUAAGUGCUAGAUAUUGUCACAGAUAGAUUUUGAUGGAUAGGAAUUUAAUAAGCUACAAAGCAGUGUAGGUCGAGAUGAACAGAGAAUGGUAUGCAUAAUGUGUAACAAUAUUUGAUACAGUUACAUUGACAGGUCUGGGCUCGUUGGAGGGAUUUUAUGCUUUUGAUUGAUUAAGCUUAACACUUCUGCUCACUCAUUAUUUACUCUGUAUUCAUCAAAAAAUAUUUAUUUUGUACUAUAUCAUAGCAUGUUCGACGGACAGAGGCAGAGACGUCCAUUGUUCUAGCUGAUAGCACUUGCUAACUUAAGAAGUCUACAUACCUUUUAUCUAACUAAAAGAGAGUUUCUUACCAACUAUUGAGCCUACAAGUUUUAGAUCUAUGUCUCUAAAGCCACUACUCAACUUCAUGUCGGCACUUUUCUGUAGAGUAUACCUCCAUAAUUCUCCAUCUAAGAUAGUACUAAAGUUUAUUGAUGAUGCUUAAUUUCUGGAUAUGCCUUACAAGCCAUCCAUGUAAGAAAUCCAAGGGGUUCAAGGCGUAUUGAAAAGGAGCUGGAGUAGGUAGGUGGUGGAUUGAGGAAGGAUCUGGAGCAGAGGUGGAAUCGAGGCUGCCCCUACGUGCGCUAAGGAGCUGCAAGGCGCCUGCGAUCCGGACACUGCUAUGUUUUCUCCUUCUCUCCAGGUGGGAGACAGAAUUUAAUGGAGAUGCAAGAUGAAAGAUGGAACAUGAUGCUUCAAAUCAGCAUAAUUAUAAGGAUUACUAAAUUUCUUAGGGAAAUCAAUGCAACGGUGAUAAAUAUAUGUAAUUGCAUUUUUUUCCGGGAAUAUGUAAUUGCAUGUAUAGCAUCUGUUUUGAACUGUAUUUUAUAUGCCAUUUAUGUAUCAUGGUGGAACACAAAAUUUAAAUAGAAAAGAAUAGCAGUGACUAAUGUAUAUCUUGCAAUUUCAGAUUUAUAUCUAUGCGACUAUGCUUACCUGUACGUACAA